rnacentral:misc_RNA from 1 species
GAUGAAGAACGCAGCGAAAUGCGAUAAGUAAUGUGAAUUGCAGAAUUCAGUGAAUCAUCGAACCUUUGAACGCACAUUGCGCCCCCUGGUAUUCCGGGGGGCAUGCCUGUCCGAGCGUCAUUACAACCCUCAAGCUCAGCUUGGUGUUGGGCCCCGCCGCCCCGGCGGGCCCUAAAGUCAGUGGCGGUGCCGUCCGGCUCCGAGCGUAGUAAUUCUUCUCGCUCUGGAGGUCCGGUCGUGUGCUCGCCAGCAACCCCCAAUUUUUUUCAGGUUGACCUCGGAUCAGGUAGGGAUACCCGCUGAACUUAAGCAUAUCAAUAAGCGGAGGA